UCAUUUUUUGAAAAUAUUUACAAGAAUUUUCUUGCCAAAUUAUGGUGAUUUUUUUAAAAGGAAAAAUCUUUGGGAUUUUUUUCCUGAACAUUUUGCAAAUUUUCAGAAAUUUGGGGAUUUUUUUUUGUUGAAUUUUUGGAUUUUUUCCAGACAAGGAAACAAUAUUUUUGGCGGCCGUAGAUGAGGACAACAGGAGGGUUAAAACAAAGCUGAAGACCCACUGGUUUACUGUUAAAGGAGUCUUCCACUGUUUUACUGAUGUCCUUUUUAUUGUUUUUAUCUCUAUGUACAGCACGCUGACUGAGAGCACUUUAUAAAUACAUUUACUAUUAUCAUUGUUAUUAUAUUACCCUUAAAAAACUAUAUAUGUUGUUAAAAUUACAAACGUUUAAGAGCUAGGAAGUGUUUCUAAGAGUGUGGGGAGGGAUUGUAAAGCUUUAAAAUACAUCUAAAUAAUACAGUAAGGUUGCUCCUUUGAUUUUGGCUUAAUUGGAAAAUUAGAAAAUAUAUUCCUUUUUUUUUUUUUUUUUAAAUUGUACAGUUCAAUAAGUGUCUUUUAUAGAUGGUUUAAACGCUGUGGUAAACCAGGGACCACUGUAAAGCUACAUCUUUACUAACAAACUAACGAAUCUGCUCUUUCAUUAUCUUUUCUUAAAAAACUAGAAAACUAUCAAUCGACUCUUCUCGUGUCGAACGCUCUGAUUGGCUGUUUAAAUUUCUGCUUCACAUCCUGGUAAAGCUCCAUCUUCCUCUCCGUCUGACAAACGUCUGACAAAACUGAGCAAAAAGAGGACUGGUGCGAUCAGAAGUCAGCACAAACGCUAAGCUAACCAAAACUUCUUCCUUGUUAAAGUGAAGCUGAAGGUUGGACACAAAGAUUUCUGACCUCCUUGAGGACAACAAUCUGGUCUGCUGCCUUCAGGUACUGCAGCUGGUGGGUGACCAAGAUACGAGGUUUGUCCUUCAGGAGGCCACAGAUGCACCUGAAACAGAACAAGCCGAGAUGUUAUCGGCUUUAGUCUGCACAUCUAAACACAAACGGAGCGGAAACUUAUCGUAGAAUGAGAGAAUAAACUGAGAUAAAGACCAACAAACAUUCCACGCCUCCAUCUUCCCUGUCGGAGCUGUUAUGUAACGCUCAGAGCUGCUGGGUUAUUCCAGAGGAAGACCGGGGCUGAGUUCAACGGUCUUCCUGACACUGGCAGCACCGCACCUCUUCCUGCCUUAGUUCAACUCAUGGAAACAUUCUCUGAUCUUUGUUCUCACGUGAGAUGAGCGAAUGAAAAUGCAACAAAAAACACUAUUAAAUAAGGCACCGCUCAGAUCCAUCGCUCAGGCUGGAUAAAUGUAGGAGACCAGCAUAAAGCGGAACACAGAGUUCAAAGCUUACAUCAUGUCCAGUAACACCAGGACACCUCUCCACCCUGGUUUUACUGGAACCGUCUCAAAAAGGUUUUGAGUUCUUUUGUUCAGACAAAUAAAGAUUAGAUAGAUGUUGAUUACCUUGCAUGACAGUUCCGGCGAACACUCUGGCCUUCCUCAGAAGCCUCAGCCGGAAGAUUUUUGACAGCCGGCAUUUGCAGCACGCACAGUAGAGUCACCAGAUCCGUGGACAGAACCGUGAACGGGGACGAGGCAGGCUUCAUGCUCUCCCACAGCUGGGACACCAUCCUCCAGAAGAAACAGGAAGGCGGAGGAUGCGGCAUUCCUGGUGGGGUGGUCGUGUCUGUUGGGUUCACCACAGCAUGCCGUUAUGGAGUGAGCGUGGUUGGACCGGGGGGUCUGGCAACUCUACUGCUGCAAAAUCCUGCUGUCAAAAAUCUGCUGGCUGACGCUUCUGAGGAAGGCCAGAGUGUUCGCCGAAACUGUCAAGCAAGCACAGUAAUCAACAUCUAUCUAAUCUUGAUUUGUCUGAACAAAAGAACUGAAAACUAGUGACUCCAACUGUGAUCAUUACAUCAUAUUUAAGGAAUGAUCUUUUUAUAAAACAUCAGGAACAACCUGAAGUUUCUUAAGAAACAAAGUUCAGUUUCAUCAACAUUCAUCCUCACUUUAUCAUUUCCUCAUUACAACUUCCAGAUCACAGAGUGUCUACAAAGGAACACAACAUUUAGUCACCUGGAGCUGAACCACAGAGGAUUUACUGGAGGGUCAAACAACAAAAGUCAGGCAAAAAAAGACAAAAAACAACAAAAACAACACAAAAUAUUACAAAAAUUAUGCAAAAAAUGACAAAAGCGAGAAACAAAAUGACAAAAAAAUGAGACAAACGACAUGAAACAAAACAAGAGAGACAAAAAAGUUAGAAAGCAACAAAAAAAUGGACAAACAAGAAAAAUAAGACAAAAAAUGACAAAAGUGAAAAACCAAACCAAAAAAAAAACACAGACGAACAACACAAACGAGACAAAAAAGAUGAAAACAACAAAAACAAGACAAAAUACGACAAAAACGAGACAUGAAACGACAAAACAACAAUGAACAAUCUGGUAUUUUACUUUAUGAUCAAAACUCGUCGUGGUCUAGAAACGAUUUUAAAUUUGAAGUUUCACAAAGUGACAGUUUUCUCCUGAUAUCUCGUCUGUAAUUUUUACUCUGCGGGCCGGCGUGGACCCUCUGGUUGAGAUGUUUGAGGGGAACAGAAACACUGGGGUUUGACCGACUGUACGGAUCACAACGAGGCAGACGGAGAGUUUGUGGAGCUCUGAAAUCACUCACUGUUCAAAGAGGUGUCUUCCAACCUCGGCGUCGACGGCACUCAGAGGGUCGUCCAGCAGGUAGACGUCUGCAUCCUGAUACACGGCCCUGAAACAACAUCAUCACCUUUUAGACAUCUACUGGCAGCAAUAACACGCAAACUAGGGAUGGUUGACUCGAGCUUUCUGUCCUCCACUCAGCGUGGCUCCUCUGUCCCCGAUCAGCGUCUGGUCUCCAUCAGGGAGCAGCUGCAGGUCCUGCAAAGGCGGACAUCAGAGCAUUAUUACUGCACAACCCACACAGCAGGACGUCCAUGUCGACUGUAGACGGGACACGGAGAAAGAAAAGCAGCCUUUCUUCAAACUGAAUCCUCCCAACAGACUUAGACUUACAAUGACUCAGCAAUUAUUGUCCUGCUGAAAGCAAACGGACAAUAAGUGAGCUGCUCAGAGCACACUGUAGCAUCAGUAAACUGUGUAACCGCAUGGAUGAACACUGACUGGAUUAUUGGACACAGAUAAGACACACAGUGAAUGAGGAGAGCGUCUGCAUCACACCAGAAUACAGAACAAGUCCAAUCAUUAGGACAGCUUGGUUCCAGAACAGCAGAUCAAUACGUGGAUUUAUUAUGUGGAUAAAUCCUCACAGUCAGACCAGUGACUCAUUAACUGAACACAGCUUCAUGAACUUCUCCUGACAGAUGAGUGCAAUCGUAGCUCAACGUAAGCAACAAAUGACCCAUAAAACAUGAAGAAAAGAUUAAGAUUUAAAUAACACGAGUCUCUUCAGAAGAAGACGGACAUUUAGUGAGCUCUCAGUCAUUCAGAAAAGCAAAAAAGACAACCAAGAUAGCAUUUAAAAUUUAGCACAGUCUGCUGUGGAACAUCCAGCCCACAGUCACGCCUCCACAAAAGUUGUGUCGGUGUUCUUACUCGCUCAAAACAUUUCCGUGUCAUUCUCUGAACCGGAGCGUCACGUUAACAGAAGAGCUUUGAGUUGUGUGAAGUGAUUUCAGGAACAUCAGAGAGCAUUAAUACGUGGUUGGUGUGUCGAAACCACAGCACACCUGUCUCACCAACUGUUCCAAAGCCACUGGGCUCCAAAUGAAAUGCCACUAAUAAUACAAUUUAACACGGCCUCCAUGACAGCAAAUAAAUCUAAACAUCCUGAGGCAACAGUAGAAGGACUUGGCUUUGCCACAAACCACAAAAUGACUCAUGUAAGUACACUGGCAGUCAGAAGCUUCAACACAUCGUCUUAUCUGAAGGAUUUUAUUUAUUUUCACGACUUUUUACAUUCUAGAUUCUCACUGAAGGCAUCAGAACUGUGAAGCUCAUCCAGAGAAUGCCAACAGUGAGGAAAGCAGGAAUCAAAGCAGCAGGUGGCUGUUUGAAAGAACCUAAAAUAGAAAAGAUGUUUGGACUCCUUUCUUUCCUACAUAAUUCCAGAUGUGUUCAUUCAUAGUUUUGACGCCUUCAGAGAGAAUCUACAACGUAAACAUUAAUGAAAACAAACAAAGACCAUGAAGUGAGAAAGUGUGUCCAAACUUUUGACUAAUCAACUGUCAGAAAUGUUUAAGACUCUUAACCCUUUAAACUGCAGUCAAUUCCAGCCAUUUUCAGUACAAAAAAAAUCACUAAUAUUCUAUUUGUAAAUAAAAAAAAAUGACGAGAAAUACAGGGAAUAUUGGACGCACAUCGCGAGGUGCAUUUCCUCGAAAACGACCGAUUCGUGGAUUUUAUACGACUUCAGGACAUGUUUUGGACAAAAUAUUUUACUGACUUGUGUCAUCUGGAUGUAAAAGGUUGGAUUAUGGCCGUUUUUUGUGGAAUAUUUUCAUCUGUGUGUAAUAAUGAACCCGGAAAUGUGAGUCGCUCUGUGUGCGUUGAAGCCGUGUAUAGAGAACGGAUGGAUGAAUAUUCGUUGUUUGUCGGACAAAUGUGUUUUUCUCACCCGCUGUGGUAAUCGCAUCUGAAAGUGGUUUAUACCGGCGGAUUCAUGACAAUCUAAGCUUUCCAUCGGCGUGUAGUGUUUGUAUAAUCACGUUUGCGGCCUUCAGACAUUCUUUAAAUUCCUCUGCAAAUUAGUAGGUGUACCACCGGCGGUACACUGAAGUUUAAGGGGCAAGUUUUUUGAGCAAAUGGUGACAGAAGCAUUUCUAAAUCCUAAUAUGAUGUCACUCAUAAGCUAGAGGUAACAGAGGCAGUUAUUGUUCAUCUUUAUGAGCCCAAACAUCCAUAACGGUCAUUUCAGUACAUCCAGGUACUUCAGAGAGUCUGAACAGAGUCUGCACCAACUCCCUGCAUGUGCAGCCUCCUGUCUUUGAGCUUUUUCUGUAUUUACCCAACCAUUUAUCAUAAAGUUUAAACUCUCAAUCAAC